rnacentral:lncRNA from 1 species
GAAAAACUUUAUUCGAGGUAUGAACUCGACAGCUUAAAAUAGCUUACCCUGAACUUACAGCGUCAAAGAAACGAAAAGAACAAAAGAUAGAAGAGAGAGACAGUUUUUGGAAAAUCUUAUUAAAUGAGACAUAUAUAAAUUUUUGUGCCUAAAGAAAAAAAAAUAGAAAAACUUUAGGUAUCCAAUUAGGCUUAAAAAAGUAAAAAACCAGAAUAAAAUUAAUUCCAUAACUCUAAGGGCCCUAUAGAUAAUCCCACAGAAAGAAUAUUUAAAGAAAAACAGAGACAUGGGUGGGACCCCCAAGAAAAAAGAAAAUAUCAUAAAAGACAGUGCCUCAUCGUUCCCACCCCUUGACAAAUAGGAUUUUCUCCGAACAAUAAAGAACAAAGAAAUUCUAUAAAUGGCAUAGAAAAGGAGGAACAAUGUCACACUGUAAUUGAAGAAGAAGAGUAUCAUAAG